GUAGGUGGCAAGCGUUGUCCGGAAUUAUUGGGCGUAAAGCGCGCGCAGGCGGUCCUUUAAGUCUGAUGUGAAAGCCCACGGCUCAACCGUGGAGGGUCAUUGGAAACUGGGGGACUUGAGUACAGAAGAGGAAAGCGGAAUUCCAAGUGUAGCGGUGAAAUGCGUAGAGAUUUGGAGGAACACCAGUGGCGAAGGCGGCUUUCUGGUCUGUAACUGACGCUGAGGCGCGAAAGCGUGGGGAGCAAACAGGAUUAGAUACCCUGGUAGUCCACGCCGUAAACGAUGAGUGCUAAGUGUUAGGGGUUUCCCGCCCCUUAGUGCUGCAGCUAACGCAUUAAGCACUCCGCCUGGGGAGUACGCCGCAAGGCUG
rnacentral:rRNA from 1 species